rnacentral:rRNA from 1 species
GACGAACGCUGGCGGCGUGCCUAACACAUGCAAGUCGAACGGAACUGUUUUGAAAGAUUUCUUCGGAAUGAAUUUGAUUUAGUUUAGUGGCGGACGGGUGAGUAACGCGUGAGUAACCUGCCCUCAAGAGGGGGAUAACAUUCUGAAAAGAAUGCUAAUACCGCAUGACAUAUCGGAACCACAUGGUUUUGGUAUCAAAGAUUUUAUCGCUUGAAGAUGGACUCGCGUCCGAUUAGUUAGUUGGUGAGGUAACGGCUCACCAAGACCGCGAUCGGUAGCCGGACUGAGAGGUUGAACGGCCACAUUGGGACUGAGACACGGCCCAGACUCCUACGGGAGGCAGCAGUGGGGGAUAUUGCGCAAUGGGGGCAACCCUGACGCAGCAACGCCGCGUGAAGGAUGAAGGUUUUCGGAUUGUAAACUUCUUUUAUUAAGGACGAAACUUGACGGUACUUAAUGAAUAAGCUCCGGCUAACUACGUG